UUUCUUUUUAAAGGGGAGUAGCUUUUACAACAAAGUCGUCAUGACGGGCUCCGGCUCCGGCUUUGUUGGCAACGCUUAAGUUGUUAGCAAGACCUUUACCCUGCUG
rnacentral:misc_RNA from 1 species